rnacentral:rRNA from 1 species
GUAGGUGGCAAGCGUUGUCCGGAAUUAUUGGGCGUAAAGCGCGCGCAGGUGGUUCUUUAAGUCUGAUGUGAGAGCCCCCGGGCUCAACCGGGGAGGGUCAUUGGAAACUGGGGAACUUGAGUGCAGGAGAGGAAAGUGGAAUUCCACGUGUAGCGGUGAAAUGCGUAGAUAUGUGGAGGAACACCAGUGGCGAAGGCGACUUUCUGGCCUGUAACUGACACUGAGGCGCGAAAGCGUGGGGAGCAAACAGGAUUAGAUACCCUGGUAGUCCACGCCGUAAACGAUGAGUGCUAAGUGUUGGGGGGUUUCCGCCCCUCAGUGCUGCAGCUAACGCAUUAAGCACUCCGCCUGGGGAGUACGGUCGCAAGACUG